UGGGGGAUAUUGCACAAUGGGCGAAAGCCUGAUGCAGCGACGCCGCGUGGGGGAUGAAGGCUUUCGGGUUGUAAACCUCUUUCGCUAUCGAACAAGGCCCGCUUAGGGUGGGUUGAGGGUAGGUGGAGAAGAAGCGCCGGCUAACUACGUGCCAGCAGCCGCGGUAAUACGUAGGGCGCGAGCGUUGUCCGGAAUUAUUUGGCGUAAAGGGCUUGUAGGCGGCUUGUUGCGCCUGCUGUGAAAACGCGGGGCUUAACUUCGCGCGUGCAGUGGGUACGGUCAGGAUGGAGUGUGGUAGGGGUGACUGGAAUUCCAGGUGUAGCGGUGGAAUGCGCAGAUAUCUGGAGGAACACCGAUGGCGAAGGCAGGUCACUGGGCCAUUACUGACGCUGAGGAGCGAAAGCAUGGGUAGCGAACAGG
rnacentral:rRNA from 1 species